rnacentral:rRNA from 1 species
AGAGUUUGAUCCUGGCUCAGGACGAACGCUGGCGGCGUGCCUAAUACAUGCAAGUCGAGCGAGCCGAACCAAUUGAUUACCUUCGGGUAUGAAGUUAGGGAAGCGAGCGGCGGAUGGGUGAGUAACACGUGGGUAACCUACCCUAUAGUCUGGGAUACCACUUGGAAACAGGUGCUAAUACCGGAUAAAAGGAGAGAUCACAUGAUUUCUUUUUGAAAGGCGGCGUAAGCUGUCGCUAAAGGAUGGACCCGCGGUGCAUUAGCUAGUUGGUAAGGUAACGGCUUACCAAGGCAACGAUGCAUAGCCGAGUUGAGAGACUGAUCGGCCACAUUGGGACUGAGACACGGCCCAAACUCCUACGGGAGGCAGCAGUAGGGAAUCUUCCACAAUGGACGCAAGUCUGAUGGAGCAACGCCGCGUGAGUGAAGAAGGUUUUCGGAUCGUAAAGCUCUGUUGUUGGUGAAGAAAGAUAGUGAGAGUAACUGCUCAUUAUUUGCCGGUAAUCAACCAGAAAGUCACGGCUAACUACGUGCCAGCAGCCGCGGUAAUACGUAGGUGGCAAGCGUUGUCCGGAUU